AGCCACACAGUGAGUACAAAGCGAACUAUUCUUUCGCCUUUUACUAAAGAAUACCGUGUGCUCGCUGCUUUUAAGUGGCAUAUGCCUAUUUUUGGAGAGUCCCUUUUUAUUAAAGGGCU
rfam:Helianthus annuus linkage group 14, whole genome shotgun sequence.